rnacentral:lncRNA from 1 species
GACAAAGUAUUUUCCUUUAUUGCCAGCAUUUAAGUGUGUGGGUGGCGUGAAAUGGCACUUCACCAGGAUCUUACUUGGAUGAUCGAAUUGCUCUGAACUUGAGUCUCCUUCUCCAGGAUAGCUGAGAGUCCUGUCUGCUCUCCUCACCUUUCCAGUGUUAUGAUGAUCUUACUGUUAUUUACAGGUUUUUUUUUUUUCUUGGUUCAAAUUCCUAAGAGACAGAAGUUGAUGGGAAAAUAUAGGAACAUGAAGAAAAUCCAUGCAGUGAGUAUUUAAAUAUUCAAACAACAAAUAAAGAAGAAGUGCAAACAUUUGUAAAAAAAAAAAAAAAAGAAAAAAAAAAGGAAGCCCUAAGAAUGAGAGGAGAAACUAGAAAUCACAGAGGAGCAAGAAGUAGGUCCGUAUACCAGAGAGAACGUCAAGGCGAGUUACCAUGUCAUAUAAGAGCUAACCUUUGUUUAAUGGAGGAACAGGAGCCAAGAAUGAAGUCUGUCUGGGGCCACCCCUCUUUCUCUCGACCCUCAUCCUUAUUCCAGAGGAUAUCUGUGCUGUAAACAGGGGCCCUUUUCACUGUGUACUUGGGGCCACAUUUUUCACAUUUUUGUGCUUUUUUGCUGGUGAUUCUGCAGUUUAAAACGGCUUCCAAGAUGCUGAGAGGCUGCCCAGUGAUCCUACGUGCAAGAAGCUUGAGACAGUCCUUAUGGAGGAAGCAUGUGUGUUAGGGAAUCUCUGUUGCACAUCUGUUACCCUGCUGCCGGCCAUGAGUGCAGUGAAUCGCCGGUGUCUAUUAAAUAAGGUGUCUUUAAACAGAAACACACAAAAAAUCAAGGGUUAUGUGUCAAUUGGUCAAUGAAAACAUUGUCAUCAAAGGUUCCCUGUACUUCCCCAGCCCUGGAGCAAAGGUUCAGGAUUCACUAAUUCAGCGUUCUCAAUGACUUUUAUAAAACUGAACUGUCCCGGAGAGCAAGUAUCGACUGUACUCAUGUUGAUAAUCUAUAACUAAAAAUAACUAAAGUUCAACAUAUUAAUGUGUUUCAUUGUAAUGAAGACCCUACAGCAGGAUGGGAAAGUGACUCCUCAGUUGCAACAAACCCAGAGCACCCCCCCACCCCUACCACACACACAAGGUUGUGAGUCCUGUAAGGAUAUUGUGAGCCCCUGGUCGGGGAGCAGACACAGCAACUGAAGAGGGGCAGCUCUUCUGAAGAUGACACGAGGACAAUCUGAAUCAUUUCAGGUGGGUUGGGAUGGACCUGUGAGAUGAUUUUCAAUGUAGGCAUGAAACCCACACCCUGUUGCCACCCUUCCACUAAUAAAAAGUUCAAACUUCAUAAAAAUUAAGUUAUA